GGGGGCGUAGCUCAGAUGGUAGAGCGCUCGCUUAGCAUGCGAGAGGUACCGGGAUCGAUACCCGGUGCCUCCU
rnacentral:tRNA from 1 species